UGGGGAAUCUUGCACAAUGGGCGAAAGCCUGAUGCAGCGACGCCGCGUGAGGGAUGAAGGCCCUCGGGUUGUAAACCUCUUUCGGCAGGGAAGAAGCGCAAGUGACGGUACCUGCAGAAGAAGUCCCGGCUAACUACGUGCCAGCAGCCGCGGUAAGACGUAGGGGACGAGCGUUGUCCGGAUUUAUUGGGCGUAAAGCGCGCGUAGGCGGUUUGGUAAGUCGGAUGUGAAAUCCCAAGGCUCAACCUCGGGACUGCAUCCGAUACUGCCCGACUAGAGGUAGGUAGGGGAGAUCGGAAUUCCUGGUGUAGCGGUGAAAUGCGCAGAUAUCAGGAGGAACACCGGUGGCGAAGGCGGAUCUCUGGGCCUUACCUGACGCUGAGGCGCGAAAGCUAGGGGAGCGAACAGG
rnacentral:rRNA from 1 species